rnacentral:tRNA from 16 species
GGGCUCGUAGCUCAGUUGGCAGAGCGUCCGGCUCAUAACCGGAUGGUCGGGGGUUCGAUUCCUCCCGAGCCCACCA